rnacentral:tRNA from 1 species
GCAGUGGUGGCUCUGGGGUAGAAUUCCUGCUUUCUAUGCAGGAGGCCCAGGUUCCACUCCUGGCCAGCGCA